rnacentral:rRNA from 1 species
UGGGGAAUAUUGCACAAUGGGCGAAAGCCUGAUGCAGCAACGCCGCGUGAAGGAGGAAGGCCUUCGGGUCGUAAACUUCUGUCCUUGAGGAAGAAGAAAUGACGGUACUCAAGGAGGAAGCCCCGGCUAACUACGUGCCAGCAGCCGCGGUAAUACGUAGGGGGCAAGCGUUAUCCGGAAUUAUUGGGCGUAAAGAGUGCGUAGGUGGUUACCUAAGCGCAGGGUAUAAGGCAAUGGCUCAACCAUUGUUGGCCCUGCGAACUGGGCUACUUGAGUGCAGGAGAGGAAAGCGGAAUUCCUAGUGUAGCGGUGAAAUGCGUAGAUAUUAGGAGGAACACCAGUGGCGAAGGCGGCUUUCUGGACUGUAACUGACACUGAGGCACGAAAGCGUGGGGAGCAAACA